rnacentral:rRNA from 1 species
UGGGGAAUUUUGGACAAUGGGGGAAACCCUGAUCCAGCCAUCCCGCGUGUGCGAUGAAGGCCUUCGGGUUGUAAAGCACUUUUGGCAGGAAAGAAACGUCAUGGGUUAAUACCCCGUGAAACUGACGGUACCUGCAGAAUAAGCACCGGCUAACUACGUGCCAGCAGCCGCGGUAAUACGUAGGGUGCAAGCGUUAAUCGGAAUUACUGGGCGUAAAGCGUGCGCAGGCGGUUCGGAAAGAAAGAUGUGAAAUCCCAGAGCUCAACUUUGGAACUGUAUUUUUAACUACCGGGCUAGAGUGUGUCAGAGGGAGGUGGAAUUCCGCGUGUAGCAGUGAAAUGCGUAGAUAUGCGGAGGAACACCGAUGGCGAAGGCAGCCUCCUGGGAUAACACUGACGCUCAUGCACGAAAGCGUGGGGAGCAAACAGG